rnacentral:lncRNA from 1 species
ACAAUACUUGGAGGAGCUUGCUCUAAACAGAAAGUGCUCAUCAUAAGGGAGGAGCCUGGGCAGUUUUCUGCAGUGCAGGCCACAGCCCACGAAGUAGCACAUUCGCUAGGAUCUAAUCACGAUGGCUCCGGCAUAUCAAGGGGGUGUCCUGCCAAUGAGAAUUUUCUCAUGUACCCGUACGCCUUUCCACCUACUACGAAAGAGUUCUCGAAAUGCACGAAGAACGCCGUUGUAAGGUUUCUAGAGUUGGAGCUGGCCAAGUGUUUGUUUACUGACUCAAGCAGGCGCAUACAUAUAUAGUCAAUGGAAACAUAUUAGGAACUAAGACAGCGGACGAACGGAAUAUCACGAGAAACGAAGACGCAAAUCGGGAUUGUUCUCUCCGAGCAACGACAACUUCUUUAAUUAAAGCAAUAUUCCCACGUAUAA